AUGGCUUUUAAAGACAUCAGCAAGACAUCCAUGGAGCCAGAGGUGGUGAUCCACUGAAUUAGGAUUACCCUCACCAGUUGCAACAUGAAAUCUCUAGAGUAAGUGUGUGCUGACCUGAUCAGAGGUGCGAAGGGAAAGAAUCUCAAAGUGAAAGGAUUGGUUCUCAUGCCUACCAAGACUUGAGAAUCACUACAAGAAAAACUCCUUGUGGUGAAUGUUCCAAGACAUGAGAUUACUUCCAGAUGAGAAUCCACAAGCGACUCAUCGACUUGCACAGUCCUUCUGAGAUUGUCAAGCAGAUUACUUCCAUCAGUAUUGAGCCGGGAGUUGAGGUUGAAGUCACCGUUGCUGACGCUUAAGUCAAGUAUUUUAAUAAAUUGAUCACACUUGUUAAAAAAUAAAAAA